rnacentral:rRNA from 1 species
GAUGAACGCUGGCGGCGUGCCUAAUACAUGCAAGUCGAGCGAACGGACGAGAAGCUUGCUUCUCUGACGUUAGCGGCGGACGGGUGAGUAACACGUGGAUACCCUACCUAUAAGACUGGGAUAACUUCGGGAAACCGUAGCUAAUACCGGAUAAUAUUUUGAACCGCAUGGUUCAAUAGUGAAAGACGGUCUUGCUGUCACUUAUAGAUGGAUCCGCGCUGCAUUAGCUAGUUGGUAAGGUAACGGCUUACCAAGGCAAUGAUGCAUAGCCGACCUGAGAGGGUGAUCGGCCACACUAGAACUGAGACACGGUCCAGACGCCUACGGGAGGCAGCAGUAGGGAAUCGUCCGCAAUGGGCGAAAGCCUGACGGAGCAACGCCGCGUGAGUGAUGAAGGUCUUCGGAUCGUAAAACUCUGUUAUUAGGGAAGAACAUAUGUGUAAGUAACUGUGCACAUCUUGACGGUACCUAAUCAGAAAGCCACGGCUAACUACGUG